GAUUGGUUGCUCAAAUUAACAAAAGGAAAAAACAAACUUCGUCGACCCUUUUUUCCUCUCUCUCUCUCUCUUUUCUUUCGAACCGUUCUCAUCGGCAUGACCAACAAUGGCCUGCUCUCUCAGUCACUCUGAAUCCUCAGUCUACCAAUCUCCGUUAAUUUUCCCUCUCGAUCUAUGUGUUGUUCUUCGGUCGUUGUCUCGUUCCCUCUUCUUAAUUUUCGUCAUCUUCAUCGGUGUAAAAUCAAAUUAUUGUGGUCGAAUUUGAGUUAUAAGGGAAGAGCUGGGUGGUGAACCUUACUUAAAGUAUUCAAGUGUCAAGUUUUGGGUUUCGCUUUAAAGGUUUUUUUUGUACCUGAGCUGAUGGUCCAUGUCACAACCUGCAGGAGCGGGAUAGGCAAGUCUCUGAUGGUUGAAAUUGACACAAAGGAUGGGAGACAUCUUAUAUCACCGUUAUGUUGGGGCAUCUGUACUGGAGUAAUGGUGACCAUUUCUCAAAAAAAGAAAAAGUUACUUUUUUUACAAAUUUUCUCUUUUAUUUAUUUUUUUAAUAUUUGAACCACAUAAUAAAUGACAUUUGUCUCAUUUAUUUGUUGUGAGAACCGUUUCUCAA